AUACGGCCAUAUCACGUUUAAACAGCAGUUCUCGUAGGAUCACCAAUGGUAAGCAGCGUCGAGCCUGAUCAAUACCUAGAUGGGUGACCGCUUGGGAAUACGUGGUGUUGUAGU